rnacentral:tRNA from 1 species
GCGGAAGUGGCGGAACUGGCAGACGCACCAGCUUGAGGGGCUGGCGGUCGCAAGACCGGGGGGGGUCGAAUCCCCCCUUCCGCACCA